UUCGCAAUGCCCGAAAGGGUGACGAAGCGACGCCGCGUGUGGGAAGAAGGCCUUCGGGUUGUAAACCACUGUCGGGAGUUAAGAAAUGCAAGGAUAUUAAUAGUGUCUUUGUUUGACUAAGGCUCCGGAGGAAGCCACGGCUAACUCUGUGCCAGCAGCCGCGGUAAUACAGAGGCGGCAAGCGUUGUUCGGAAUUAUUGGGCGUAAAGAGCACGUAGGCGGCUACACAGUCGGUUGUGAAAGCCUUCCGCUCAACGGAAGAACAGCAUCCGAUACUACAUGGCUUGAGUGCGGGAGGGGAGAGUGGAACUUCUGGUGGAGCGGUGAAAUGCGUACACAUCAGAAGGAACGCCGGCGGCGAAAGCGGCUCUCUGGCCCAUAACUGACGCUGAGUGUGCGAAAGCUAGGGGAGCAAACGGGAUUAGAUACCCCGGUAGUCCUAGACAUAAACGAUGGGCACUAAGUAGAGGGGUUUUA
rnacentral:rRNA from 1 species